AUUCCUCAGAGCUGACGUCCCUGACGCUGAAUGUUGAGGCAAAGGAAUCCCUCCUUUCGUGCAUGUGAUCCUGCAGAUUUGGCCUGCUGAAACUUGUGAGCUCUGCCUCCCCGCACUUUAUUCACUGCCUUGGAUUUAUGAACCAGGAUCUUCAUGGAUUCAAUGCUGAAAAACUCCCUUUGCAACAGCAGGAGGACAACUCUAUGGCGUGUGGGGGUUAUCCUGACCUUCCGAGGGGUGGUGUCACGUCCAACCUUAUAGCGGUAUGAAUGGGAAAACAGAAAAGAUGAAUACAGCAAUUGAUAAAUAGCGGAACAUGGGUGUGUUAUGCCGUGGAUGCCUUCAGUCCCAGGAGAGGGCUUUCC